rnacentral:rRNA from 1 species
UACGUAGGGGCCUAGCGUUGUCCGGAAUUAUUGGGCGUAAAGAGCUCGUAGGCGGCUCGGUAAGUCGGGUGUGAAAACUCUAGGCUCAACCUAGAGACGCCACCUGAUACUGCUGUGGCUAGAGUCCGGUAGGGGAGCAUGGAAUUCCUGGUGUAGCGGUGAAAUGCGCAGAUAUCAGGAGGAACACCAGUGGCGAAGGCGGUGCUCUGGGCCGGAACUGACGCUGAGGAGCGAAAGCGUGGGGAGCAAACAGG